ACGAGCCAAUAGAGAGGAAAUACAAGGAUCACCAACAUUCAUCUGGUGGCUUCAGUACCACAGAGACGCCAACAUUUUUACACAUUUUGUCAGAAAGCUAGACUUUAAAAUAUUCUAGCUUUUCACUAAAAAGCUAGAAUAUUGCAAAAAGACUAGACUAAUGCAAAAAAAUUGCAUUAGUUUGCAAAAACUGAAAGAGG